rnacentral:rRNA from 1 species
GCCUACGGGGCGCAGCAGUGAGGAAUAUUGGUCAAUGGGCGGAAGCCUGAACCAGCCAAGUCGCGUGAGGGAAGAAGGCCCUGCGGGUCGCAGACCUCUUUGGACGGGGAGCAAGGCCGCCGACGUGUCGGCGGAAGGAGAGUACCCGUAGAACAAGCAUCGGCUAACUCCGUGCCAGCAGCCGCGGUAAUACGGAGGAUGCGAGCGUUAUCCGGAUUUAUUGGGUUUAAAGGGUGCGCAGGCGGCACGGCAAGCCGGCGGGCAAAUUGCGGGGCUCAACCCCGUACUGCCGUUGAAACUGCCUC